rnacentral:rRNA from 1 species
AACGCGAAGAACCUUACCCAGGCUCGAAAUGCAGAGGCAACCGACAGAGAUGUCGGGUUCCGCAAGGACUUCUGUAUAGGUGCUGCAUGGCUGUCGUCAGCUCGUGUCGUGAGAUGUUGGGUUAAGUCCCGCAACGAGCGCAACCCUUAUCUCCAGUUGCCAUCAUUCAGUUGGGCACUCUGGCGAAACCGCCUCGGAUAACGGGGAGGAAGGUGGGGAUGACGUCAAGUCCUCAUGGCCUUUAUGUCCAGGGCUACACACGUGCUACAAUGGCCGGUAUAAACCGCUGCAAACCCGCGAGGGGGAGCUAAUCGGAAAAAGCCGGCCUCAGUUCGGAUUGCAGUCUGCAACUCGACUGCAUGAAGCUGGAAUCGCUAGUAAUCGCAGAUCAGAAUGCUGCGGUGAAUACGUUCCCGGGCCUUGUACACACCGACUGUAC